AGUGAACGCUGGCGGUAGGCCUAACACAUGCAAGUCGAUCGGCAGCACCGUAAGAGCUUGCUCUUACGGGUGGCGAGUGGCGGACGGGUGAGGAAUACAUCGGAAUCUACUUUUUCGGGGGGGAUAACGUAGGGAAACUUACGCUAAUACCGCAUACGACCUACGGGUGAAAGCAGGGGAUCUUCGGACCUUGCGCGAUUGAAUGAGCCGAUGUCGGAUUAGCUAGUUGGCGGGGUAACAGCCCACCAAGGCCACGAUCCGUAGCUGGUCGGAGAGGAUGAGCAGGCACACUAGUACUGGAACACGGCCCAGACGCCUACGGGCGGCCGCAGGGGAGAACAUUCGACAGUGGGCGAAGACCUGAACCAGCAAUACCGCGUUAGUGAUGAAGGACAUAGGAUUGUCAAGCACUUGUACCCUGGAUGAUAAUGCCAGUACCGGGAGAAUAAGCUCCGGCUAACUCCGG
rnacentral:rRNA from 1 species